CAAUAGCAUUGUGACAAGUUGCAGCGUAACAGAAUGCCAUGUGUUACAAUUAGUUUAGAAAAUAGUUAAUUAGUUAUUAAGUAGUUAUUAGUUAGUAUUAUUUAAUAAUUAAUUAUUUAAUGUGGAUUUAAAAAAAAUAACAGGAAAAAAAAACAUUCCAGAUGGUGUGGAUACAACUUCCACGUUUCAGUUUUAAAAAUUGGCAAUUAAUUUUCUAUUAAAUUUUACUGGGAAGAGGAAAAGGAAAAGGAAAAGGGGGAAAUCAGAAAGAAAAAAAAAACUACUCCUAAAGUAACCCACAUCUACUCCACUUUCCCACUCCUCAUCUCCUGCACCUUAUACCUUUCUCCACGAACCCUAAAAUUAGGGAUACCACGAUCUUUAGUUUUUUCAUAAUGGAGCAGUUUACAAAGGGCAAUAAAUCACGAUGCAGCGGUUUGUCAACACUCAUAAUUCUUGACAGGAAUCCUGAGUGUUCUCUGCAAAAAACUCUCUUUGCACUAAAAGGAAUUAAUGGCGGCUCAAAGUAAUUUUAUUAGCGAAAUUAACACCAAGCCGAUGAAUUGGAGGUUAAAGGUUCGUAUUGUCAGGCUUUGGGAAAAACCACUUCACAACAAACCUGAUAGUCCUUUUUCAACUGAGCUUAUUCUGAUGGAUGAAAAGGGCGGCCGCAUUCACGCAAGUGUUGGCAGGAAUAUUAUUCAAAGUUUGAAAACGAUGAACCAAG